rnacentral:rRNA from 1 species
AGGGCGCACGGUGGAUGCCUUGGCACUAGGAGCCGAUGAAGGACGGGACUAACACCGAUAUGCUUUGGGGAGCUGUAAGUAAGCUAUGAUCCAGAGAUUUCCGAAUGGGGGAACCCAAUAUCUUUUAUAAGAUAUUACUUUUCAGUGAAUACAUAGCUGAUUAGAGGUAGACGCAGAGAACUGAAACAUCUUAGUACCUGCAGGAAGAGAAAGAAAAUUCGAUUCCCUGAGUAGCGGCGAGCGAAACGGGAAGAGCCCAAACCAACAAGCUUGCUUGUUGGGGUUGUAGGACUCCGAUAUGGUAGUCUGUUAGUAUAGUUGAAGGAUUUGGAAAAUUCCGCUAAAGAGGGUGAAAGCCCCGUAGACGAAAUGCUGACAACACCUAGGAGGAUCCUGAGUACGGCGGAACACGAGAAAUUCCGUCGGAAUCCGCGGGGACCAUCCCGCAAGGCUAAAUACUCCCUAGUGACCGAUAGUGAACCAGUACCGUGAGGGAAAGGUGAAAAGCACCCCGGAAGGGGAGUGAAAUAGAUCCUGAAACCGUGUGCCUACAACAAGUCAAAGCUCGUUAAUGAGUGAUGGCGUGCCUUUUGUAGAAUGAACCGGCGAGUUACGAUUGCAUGCGAGGUUAAGUCGAAGAGACGGAGCCGCAGCGAAAGCGAGUCUGAAUAGGGCGAAUGAGUAUGUAGUCGUAGACCCGAAACCAUGUGAUCUACCCAUGUCCAGGUUGAAGGUGCGGUAAAACGCACUGGAGGACCGAACCCACGUACGUUGAAAAGUGCGGGGAUGAGGUGUGGGUAGCGGAGAAAUUCCAAACGAACUUGGAGAUAGCUGGUUCUCUCCGAAAUAGCUUUAGGGCUAGCCUCGGAAUUGAGAAUGAUGGAGGUAGAGCACUGUUUGGACUAGGGGCCCAUCUCGGGUUACCGAAUUCAGAUAAACUCCGAAUGCCAUUCAUUUAUAUCCGGGAGUCAGACUGCGAGUGAUAAGAUCCGUAGUCGAAAGGGAAACAGCCCAGACCACCAGCUAAGGUCCCAAAAUAUAUGUUAAGUGGAAAAGGAUGUGGGGUUGCACAGACAACUAGGAUGUUGGCUUAGAAGCAGCCACCAUUUAAAGAGUGCGUAAUAGCUCACUAGUCGAGUGACCCUGCGCCGAAAAUGUACCGGGGCUAAACAUAUUACCGAAGCUGUGGACUACACCAUUAGGUGUAGUGGUAGGAGAGCGUUCUAAGGGCGUUGAAGGUCGAUCGUGAGGACGGCUGGAGCGCUUAGAAGUGAGAAUGCCGGUAUGAGUAGCGAAAGACAGGUGAGAAUCCUGUCCACCGUAUGACUAAGGUUUCCUGGGGAAGGCUCGUCCGCCCAGGGUUAGUCGGGACCUAAGCCGAGGCCGAUAGGCGUAGGCGAUGGACAACAGGUUGAUAUUCCUGUACCAGUUGUUUUUGUUUGAGCAAUGGAGGGACGCAGUAGGCUAAGGAAUGCAUGCGAUUGGAAGUGCAUGUCCAAGCAAUGAGUCUUGAGUAGAGUUAAAUGCUUUACUCUCUAAGGACAAGUUGUGACGGGGAGCGAAAUAAUAGUAGCGAAGUUCCUGAUGUCACACUGCCAAGAAAAGCUUCUAGUGAGAAAACAACUGCCCGUACCGUAAACCGACACAGGUAGUCGAGGAGAGUAUCCUAAGGUGAGCGAGCGAACUCUCGUUAAGGAACUCGGCAAAAUGACCCCGUAACUUCGGGAGAAGGGGUGCUGACUUCGGUCAGCCGCAGUGAAUAGGCCCAAGCGACUGUUUAUCAAAAACACAGGUCUCUGCAAAAUCGUAAGAUGAAGUAUAGGGGCUGACGCCUGCCCGGUGCUGGAAGGUUAAGAGGAUGGGUUAGCUUCGGCGAAGCUCAGAAUUGAAGCCCCAGUAAACGGCGGCCGUAACUAUAACGGUCCUAAGGUAGCGAAAUUCCUUGUCGGGUAAGUUCCGACCCGCACGAAAGGCGUAACGAUUUGGGCACUGUCUCAACGAGAGACUCGGUGAAAUUUUAGUACCUGUGAAGAUGCAGGUUACCCGCGACAGGACGGAAAGACCCCAUGGAGCUUUACUGUAGUUUGAUAUUGAGUGUUUGUACCACAUGUACAGGAUAGGUAGGAGCCGAUGAGACCGGAACGCUAGUUUCGGAGGAGGCGCUGGUGGGAUACUACCCUUGUGUUAUGAACCCUCUAACCCGCACCACUAAUCGUGGUGGGAGACAGUGUCAGAUGGGCAGUUUGACUGGGGCGGUCGCCUCCUAAAAGGUAACGGAGGCGCCCAAAGGUUCCCUCAGAAUGGUUGGAAAUCAUUCGAAGAGUGUAAAGGCAGAAGGGAGCUUGACUGCGAGACCUACAAGUCGAGCAGGGACGAAAGUCGGGCUUAGUGAUCCGGUGGUUCCGCAUGGAAGGGCCAUCGCUCAACGGAUAAAAGCUACCCUGGGGAUAACAGGCUUAUCUCCCCCAAGAGUCCACAUCGACGGGGAGGUUUGGCACCUCGAUGUCGGCUCGUCGCAUCCUGGGGCUGUAGUCGGUCCCAAGGGUUGGGCUGUUCGCCCAUUAAAGCGGCACGCGAGCUGGGUUCAGAACGUCGUGAGACAGUUCGGUCCCUAUCCGUCGCGGGCGUUGGAAAUUUGAGAGGAGCUGUCCUUAGUACGAGAGGACCGGGAUGGACUUACCGCUGGUGUACCAGUUGUUCUGCCAAGGGCAUUGCUGGGUAGCUAUGUAGGGAAGGGAUAAACGCUGAAAGCAUCUAAGUGUGAAGCCCACCUCAAGAUGAGAUUUCCCAUUUCU